GAGAGAGAAGAAGAAGAAGGUUUGAAUUUUGAUUGCCAGGUGUUCAGAAAGGGAUACUGUUUUGCGGAACAAGCUAUUGUGUUUGCUUUGUGGGGAAAAAGGGACAAGCUUCUUGUGUUUCUGAGGCUUAAAGCAGAGUGGCAU